rnacentral:rRNA from 1 species
AGAGUUUGAUCAUGGCUCAGGGUUAACGCUGGCGGCGUGCCUUACACAUGCAAGUCGAACGGGGCUAUCAGCGAUGGUAGCUUAGUGGCGAACGGGUGAGGAAGACGCAGGGACCUACCGACCAGAGGGGGAUACCCGCUGGAAACGGCGGAUAAAACCGCAUACGCCCGGGUGAAAGCCCGGAGAAAAGCACUACGGUGUUACUGGACGAGGGACCUGCGGCCCAUCAGGUAGUUGGGGAGGUAACGGCUCACCAAGCCGACGACGGGUAUCUGGCGUGAGAGCGCGAACAGGCACAAGGACACUGAGAGACGGGUCCUACUCCUACGGGAGGCAGCAGUGGGGAAUAUUGGACAAUGGGCGAAAGCCUGAUCCAGCGACGCCGCGUGUCGGAAGGAGUCCUUCGGGAUGUAAACGACUUUUGGUGGAGACGAAUAAGCAGCUCAGGGAAUGGGGCUGUGAUGACGGUAUCCAUGGAAUAAGCCCCGGCUAACUACGUGCCAGCAGCCGCGGUAAGACGUAGGGGGCAAGCGUUACCCGGAAUUACUGGGCGUAAAGGGAGCGUAGGCGGGAGGUCAAGUCCGGUGUGAAAGACCCUGGCUCAACCAGGGAUGAGGGCUGGAAACUGACAAUCUUGAGUACAGCAGAGGAAGAGGGAAUUACCGGUGUAGGGGUGAAAUCCGUAGAGACCGGUAAGAAGGCCAGUGGCGAAGGCGCUUUUCUGGGCUGUUACUGACGCUGAGGCUCGAAAGCCAGGGGAGCAAACCGGAUUAGAUACCCGGGUAGUCCUGUCCGUAAACGAUGCUCACUAGGUGUGGGGCGCAUAGCGUGCUCUGCGCUGAAGCAAACGCAAUAAGUGAGCCGCCUGGGGAGUACGUCCGCAAGGAUGAAACUCAAAGGAAUUGACGG